UCGCUGCAUUUUCAGUUGCCUUCUGGGGGAAUUCCUGCGGGCAUGCCUGAGACACAAACAGAUGCUGUGUGCAGCACCAGCGUGUUCUUACAGUGUUUAGCGCUUUGCGGGCAGCACUGAGGUUUAUCUUUCAAGGUGUGAUGCUUACUCUGCUGCCGGUUAUGAGCUUCUGGCUGGUUUUGGCUCACGCGGCCUUCGUCCUCACGUUUUCAUCAUGAUGUAUUGAUGUGCGAGCGCCUGCCUAACGCUUUAGAAGGUGGAAAGGGGCGACUAGCGGCUGCUACUAUUGUCAUCGGAUGCACCACUAAAUUACUACCAAUUGUAUUCAUUUUGGGGGGAGGAUAAGGUGUUUGAUAAAAUGUUUCAGCCAAUCGGUAAGUGCCAUUGAGGUUUAACUAGGGCUAUGUUGAAGAAAUUAACCGAGGGGAUGACAGAGCACAACAAGGACGUGCCAGAUGCUAAAACAGAUGAAGAUUGAAACAUUGUUAAAACACAGAAACAGAAUGCUGCUGCAGGUCUCGUAGUUGCAACACAUAAUAUCAAUGAAACAAAAAAAUUAUAGGAGUUCCAUACUUUCGCAGUGCUGGAUUUUUAGACGUUAAUGAUGUGAAAUCUCCUAGAGAUGAACAAGACCACGGAACACAUGCUGCAUCAAUAGCAGCUAUACGAUAUGUUAGCAACGCAAACUUAAUGGGGCUUGCAAAUGGAACAACACGGGGUGGGUAUCCAUCAGCAAGAAUUGCAGUGUACAAAGUUUGUUGGCUGAUGGAUGCAAUGAUGUAGAUAUUCUUGCAGCGUUUGAUGUAGCAAUUGCUGAAGAAGUUGAUAUUAUUUUAAUAUUUGUUGGAGGAGCUGUUACUGAUUAUUUUCAAGAUUCAAUUCUUUGCUAUUGGAUCGUUCCAUGCCAUGAAAAAUUGGAUAUUGAUUUCUGCAUCAGCUGGUAAUAGUGGCAAUGAACCUGGCAGAGUCACCAAUGUUCCGCCUUGGAUUCUUUCAGUUGCUGCUAGCACGUACAAUAGGAAGCUCUUGACAAAGUUCGUGCACUUUAAAACCAAUCUCUUCUCUCUACCACCUUUUACAGGUGAGUGAGAAAGAUAUGCACUAGAAACAAGCUCAUUUAUCUAGCCAUGGAGUAAGAGAGAAUUCACAAACUUCAGACUGGUCUUAUUUCUCCAACUAAAUUGAAGAUGAUGCUUAUGGAUCACCAGAGGAAAAAAGAUGAUUCUGAUAUUAAAUCAGCUCGGACGCAUCCUAAGCUUCAGGAUAUCGAGUUCGUUGAGAACAGCUAAUAAGCUUCUAAUGUUGCUUAUCAUGAGCAAGUCCAUUCUUCAAUUGCAGUGUGUAGUAUAGGGAACACACCACUGAGUUCCAGCUAGAGCGGCAUGAGGCAUCGUAUCAAAUGGUGCUCAAGCGAAUCAGAGUUCUUUCUGAUUAAAGGAAUUUACAUCAGGAGAUCAUGGCAAUGAUCCGAGCCAAAAUGUAGAGGGCUGACAGUUUUAAUUCGAGCUCAGUUCACCCACUGAGAACAUUACAUGAUACUCUACGCAGAUAAGUUGCCUUUUUGAAAACUCUCAAUUCACGUGAGUAUCAUGUGAUUUGCCGUUUGGUGUGAUUUUUGUCAAUAUCUGUAGGUACAUGGGUACAUAUAUGAGAGAAAAUUAGUUCAUUUAUGUGAAUCAAAUUUUCAGGAACCAUAGGUUUUUACGGUGCUAUAAUAUUUUGAAUUUUUGUUCGGAAUAUGUUUGUAUUACUGGUGAUAAUUUAAAUUAUGCACUAAUUUGCAGCUGAUUGUACCCAUCUCUUUUUUGACAGUCCGUUGGAUCAGAAUUUGUAUAAGCUGUCGAUUUUGAAAGACGUGCCAAGAAUCGCUGCGGUGAAGAUUUUUAAACAGGAGCGUGUUCCAGAGACUGAGUCACAGGUCUGAGUUUUAACCGCGGACAACUCACCUAACGGAAUACAGGAAGACCUACAGGCCAAUGGUGGCCAGGCUGCUCCUCAGCCCUCUGUGCUUCCUGCAUACAUUUAACAAGGGUAUAAACAAAUGAUUGGUUGUUGAGAAGUUUCUGUCAACUAUGUUCGGGGGAAGCCUCUAAAUUUUGUCAUGUGUAUCGAAAAUGACAAAUCAGAUAAAGAUAUGUAUGAAAGCAUCUUAAGCACAAUUUUAACUGCAUCUGUUCCUUCCCAGAGGUCUUUACCUAUAAUGUUGGGAGAAAGCUGAGCAAAGCCCGCUUUUAUAUUGAUGACAUUGUUAUAGUAGUGAAGCUGCUUAAAGUUCAUGUUGAUGCGCCAAGUCCAAAGCCAAGACUGGAACCACAUGUCAAAGUUUCUUCGGCAAUUUCAUUUGAGAUAGAUAAUUGUAAUACAUUGUUUCAGAGUAGAGAAAGUCAUUUGGGCACCAAUUUAAUCUUUUAACUUAUAUAACUAAUGCUUAAUAGGGAUUAUACAACUAUAUUGGCAUCAUGAAAUCUUUGAAUCAAAUUGUAUUAUUGCUCAAGUAUAAAUAUUGUUGAUGUUUACUAUA